UACGUAGGGGGGCAAGCGUUGUCCGGAUUUAUUGGGCGUAAAGAGCGUGUAGGCGGUUCGGUAGGUCCGUUGUGAAAACUCGAGGCUCAACCUCGAGACGCCGAUGGAAACCCCCGAACUAGAGUCCGGAAGAGGCGAGUGGAAUUCCUGGUGUAGCGGUGGAAUGCGCAGAUAUCAGGAGGAACACCGGUGGCGAAGGCGGGUCUCUGGGCCGAUAUUGACGUGAGGAGCGAAAGCGUGGGGAGCGAACAGG
rnacentral:rRNA from 1 species